rnacentral:misc_RNA from 1 species
GCAAUUGCGACGGAGGCGACUAUGACCAGCCAACGCUGGCGGAUCGAAAAGGCGAGGAGGGCGUCGAUCAUGUUGUGGCCCCGGAGUUCGGACGUGCCCUUUCCCGGAUACGGACGAAGGAGGNGUGAAAAUGACACCAUCGCCCUUGCGUCCCGUGCAUGCGGCCACGGCGAUCACGUCGCGGAUUGCGCUGACCUGGUCGGGGCGGCAAGCAAUCUGCAACUGCAGAAAAUGAUGGUACGUGAAAUCGGAUUCGCUCGCCGCGUAGGAGCCGCCGGUGCC